UACAGAGGGUGCGAGCGUUAAUCGGAAUUACUGGGCGUAAAGCGUGCGUAGACGGCUAUCUAAGUCGGGUGUGAAAGCCCCGGGCUCAACCUGGGAAUUGCAUUCGAGACUGAAUAGCUAGGGUACGGUAGAGGGAAGCGGAAUUCCGGUGUAGCGGUGAAAUGCGUAGAUAUCGGAAGGAACACCAGUGGCGAAAGCGGACUUCCUGGUCCAG
rnacentral:rRNA from 1 species